rnacentral:rRNA from 1 species
GACGAACGCUGGCGGCGCGCUUAACACAUGCAAGUCGAACGGAAAGGCCUGCUUUCCCUUGUGGAUUGCGGGUACUCGAGUGGCGAACGGGUGAGUAACACGUGAGUGAUCUGCCCCCAACUUGGGUAUAAGCCUGGGAAACUGGGUCUAAUUCCCGAUAGGACUGCAGGGUGGUGCCUGUGGUGGAAAACGAUUUUCUAGUGGUUGGGGAUGAGCUCGCGGCCUAUCAGCUUGUUGGUGGGGUAAUGGCCUACCAAGGCGGCGACGGGUAGCCGGCCUGAGAGGGUGGACGGCCACAUUGGGACUGAGAUACGGCCCAGACUCCUACGGGAGGCAGCAGUGGGGAAUAUUGCACAAUGGGCGGAAGCCUGAUGCAGCGACGCCGCGUGGGGGAUGACGGCCUUCGGGUUGUAAACUCCUUUCGACCGCGAGGAAGCCACCUGGUUGGAAGGGUGGCGACGGUAGUGGUAGAAGAAGCACCGGCUAACUACGU